rnacentral:tRNA from 1 species
GGCCCAGUAGCUCAGCUGGAUAGAGCGACUGCCUCCUAAGCAGUAGGUCCCCGGUUCGAAUCCGGGCUGGGUCACCA